ACAUUCCUGGUGGAGAUUUUUGGAGCUGAACAACAGAGGAUAAGCCAGCCAGCAUGGGACCAACAGCAUUGUAAGAGCAGCAUGAGAAGAUCUGUGCAGCAGAUCAAACUGACUUGGAGCACAAAGGAGGUCGCGAUGUAAUUUAUCCACCUACAUGAAAGAGGCUUUUUUUGCUGAUGCUUUCCUCCUGGGAGCUGAAUGCUGCUUGAAUCAUCCGUCCAGGGUGACAUGUGUAAAUAGAACUGGACGCUGGCCAACAUAUUGAAACAAGAAGAAAUUAAAAGACUUAGGAGGUGGCUGAAAGGCUCAGCGGAGUAACCUCUAGGCGGGGAGAGCUGGAGUGAACUGACGUGAGUGAGGAACUAUUUCAAGGCUUACUAAAAAAAAAAAAAAGGCCAAUUAUAAAUUGUUCCCUUCUGACAGUGGAAGGUUUAGCAAACAGCAACCGGGAUGAAAGUGAAUGUGAGGGUAGGAAUCUCCAGGAAUGUGCCUGGAAGGGGUUCUCUGUAGGGACUGAACUUCUGGUUCUAAAGCACAAGCAUCAACAAGCUGAGCAAAAGGACCGUGGGGGUAGCUCGGAGGCAGUAGCAGACUCAUAAAACCUCUAUACUUGGUCUUGGCUCUAGAGCAGUGGUUCAUUUUCAGGGCUCUUCUGGAUUCUGCCCAGAAGCUUUAGACUUGAGCGGUACGUCCACACUGCAGCCUCCUUUCGGCGGUGUGUAGAGUACACACACUACACACACCCCUAGCAUGGGACCGUCCCCACUCACGGGGUCCCAAAGCCCGGACCCAAACAUCCACACCACAGUCUUAC